GCUUCUGUGGCCUAAUGGAUAAGGCGUCGGCCUCCGAAGCCGGAGACUGCGGGUUCAAGUCCCGCCAGAAGUA
rfam:Daphnia magna strain Xinb3 scaffold02140, whole genome shotgun sequence.